AAACAAAAUGACAAGAUGCUUAAAAAGAAAAAAACUCACUGAUUUCUGUCCUUGGCACAAAUCAGGUACACUUCCUAAUAAAGAAAGUGUUUUCUUUGGGUGCAAUGUGAUACCACUUAAUAAAGAAGGACACAACAGAUAUCUGCUUAUAGAAAGUUACACUUAGGUAGCCCUUUCUCUCCCAUCCAUGUUUCACAGAUAGUUCACAGGUUGUGCUAUACUGUACGGGUACUCUUGGGCACGUUGGGGUACAUGGAGCUCCCAGGCUCCAGCGUCCUUAUCAGCUAACAUCAGGAUAUCUUACAAAUAAUUCUGUUUUCAAUGUGUAUCUUGACUGAACAGGGCAGGAAAGUCCUGCCCUACAGAGAUUAUCCCUUAACUAAUCUUUGCUUACAACAGUCUCUGCCUUCAGUUUUUUUUCUGCUUUUAUUCCCUAGUAUAUUUAUAUUACUAUGAAAUUGAAAGAUGAUUCCACAUGCAACUCCACGACAUAUCUAUUGGAGAGAGCAAGGUCCCGAGGGUAAGCUAUGAGUGUCCUCCAUGAGAACCUCAAGGUUACAUUAAUCACCUAAAUGUAAUGAGUGUACAUGAUUUUUUUAAUAUUGAAUUACAGAAUUUCUGAGAAAUAUUUCUUGCCUUCUCAUUCACAGAAAGAGUGGAUUCUUUUUUGUGUUUAUCACUGGAUGACUCACAAGACAGCAAAGCAUAAAAUCAAGAGGGUUCAAAGUUGUAGGAACACAACUCUAGGCGGCUUCCCCUCCCCCUCCCCAUGGCCACCAAAGACCCCUCUGUUCUCUCUCCCCCACUUCUUCUGCUAAUACCUGAAAGUCAUUUAACAAUAGGAAAGAAGACUUUCUGCAAAAUACAGGGAGGUUCUGAGGUGAAGGGCAUGGAACUUCUAAGGACUGAUGAGCUCAUUUUAACGACAUGCUGACACUUGCCUUGACCAAAAAUUUUUUUCUCCUUUCUGAAAGGUGUUUCAUCAUCAGAUCUUUUCUUAAGAUACGAUUUUGAUGAGGGCAGACUUGGGGCAUCGUGAGUACAUAAGUGCCGAAAACAGGUUCCUCUGAAGCUCUGAAAGGGGAAACCAGAGAACCAGCAACCACAGCCUUAGGUAUGUUUAUCCCUCUUUUCAUAGAUGAUCGCUCCUCCUAGCCAUGUUCACAACAGAUUUCAAGUUUCAAGACCAGAGUAAGGAGACACCAAAUAGAAAUAUUUGUUCAACAAAGAGUAGUGUACAUGCCCCAAAACAAAAUCAUUUUUCGUUAAGUUAAUGUGACCCCCAACAACUGUUUUACUGCAUGGAAAUACUGAUUUGUAAUUAAAAGUAUACUAACUAAUACACAGAAGUUGCCCAACAAAAUUGUCAUACUAAGAUUAUUACUUAAAGACACACUAGUUCUGAUUCCUGUCGCCGGCUUCGGCACACUUUCAGAGGCAACAUCUUCAAACAUCAUGAAUCAGGGCUUCACUUUACUUCGCACUUCGUCAGGCCAUCCUCAACCCCCUUAUCUGCCAUUGCUCUUACUUCCCGGGCCUUGGAGAGUGAAAUCUAAGAGAAAGAUGACCCCUGGGCUGUUCCCAUGGAAGGAGAGAAAGCAAGCUGAUCUAAAGAUUUGCUCAUUUAGUUUAAACUAAAUGAUUUAGUUUUAAAUCAACAGUGGCCAUGACCUCAUGAUUUUCUCAUCACAAAGUCAUUCGCUAAUUUAAUUGCCAUGAAACAGGACUGCCGAGCAUCCCUAAUGUAUUUAGAGAAGCUGAUUUCAUACAGAUAGGAUUAGCUAUUAAACAGAGGUGGGUACCACUGACCUUAUAAAUUAAGAGAAAGGAUGAAGGCACAAAUACGCUUGGGGUUGGCUUAAAAAUAGCUCCUCUCAGAUCUCCUCACCUUACAAUGUAAGUUAAUUAACUGAAGUUGUAACCUGGUUCAGCAAUUUUGACAAGAGAACAACCAGUUUGAUAAUUUACAAUUUCCACAAGAUAACUGACAAGAUUAUCAGAUAGGUAGACUAAAUAAAAUGUCUAUCAAAUCUUUUUUUAAGAAAAUUAAUGUGAAUCUACGUAAAAUUAACAAAAUUAUUUCACUAUUUCAUCAUUUUCAACAAGAGCAAAAAGGUAUAUUCUAUAAUUUAGAGAUGGGCAAAUUUGGCAUGCACUUUCGAUAAUAAUUCUACACCUGAAGAUUUAAAAGUAGGGACACCCUGAGACAACAAAACGUAAUUACUAGAAACCCUUUUGGGUUCAUCAAGAACAAACUUUCAAGUCCUAAAUAUUAUAGGAACUGAAGCAAAGAAAAUAAAAAUUUAUGAUGUUAGUCUUCAAAUCCAGAGUUAGGUCAUCUGACAGCGGUCUGAGAAGAUGAAAAAUUAUAGGUAGGUUUUCAUUUAUUUUCUGAGGAUGCAUAGGAGUUUUAAGUCCAUGAUUUUAAAUAUAAAUCCAAACAAUUAUAUAUGUGCAGUGGCCUCUUCUAAAGGCUGGUUCUAAAAUUGCUAGAAGCUUCAACAGAAGGAGCAGAACUCAUUACUAUGCCAUAUACCUGUCUCGGUAUCUGAUUUUAGAAAAAUAGCACUAAAAUAGCCAUCCUCAUUUCUGUCACCCAUACAAUGGUGUGAUGUUUCCAAGGGUCCUUCGAGCACUCUCCUUGCAUCUCUCGGUGACAGAAGUGACCUUGAUUGGAGCACACCCUGAGGCCUGCCGGAAAGAGGUCAUUGAAUGAACCUGAUGUACUGAGCUACCAAAGGGCUCUGAGAGACAGGUCAGCACGUGAAAAAGCUCAGCUUCCUAUGCAAAGAGGCAGGUUGUUAGCUUAUUUGUGUGUGCUGUGUCCCUGCUCUUAUCCCCCGGCAUUUAUCAUGUUUGUAAUAACUUAUCUGUGAUCUCCUUUGCAGGUAUGACCAUGAACUCCACCCCAGCAGAAGGCAGGCAAGUCUUGCUCUCUCUCCUACCUCUUCCACAUAGCACAGGGCCUCGAUCUUAGUAGGCCAUCAAUUGAUUUACUGAAAGUGAAUUGAAUCAAAAGAUCGAUCACUGAAACUAUUUCAUUAGUUACUUGGUAUUUUAAGGCAAGCUUGAAUCUCAGUGUGUGUGUCCACACAGAGAUCAGUAGAAUCUUAAAACAGCACAUAACCUUACUUUUCUUAUAUUUAUGUAUCCCUCCUCUAAACCAGAAACGAGAGAGGGAGUGGAUAGAGAGCAACAAUUUCUCUUUCUCCACCUGUUCUCAGCAGUGAAAUGCUCAAAAGGCAGGCAGACAGCAGGAGGCAAGAGACAACGAAGCCUUGGCACAAUCUGAUGGCCACAGGCCCCGACUCAGGAUCGCAUGAGGAGAAGGUAUUCACAAGUCGCCAGGGUCUUAUAUUAUUUCUGUUCUGAAAUUUCCUUUGACCAAGCAUGUGAAACAAAACAAAAGCCUCUUUUAUACAUUUUGGCCUACAUUUUACCUGAACAAGGAAAGUGGAAGGAAUUUAUACUGUUGGUACUAGAGAAGUGAGCUGUAUCAUCACUUUUGCACGUUAUCUGUGCUUGGUCUAUUUCCGAGUGGGUUGUGCCCGUGUGUGUGUGGUGGGGGUGAAUAUAUGCCUUCACUCAUGCAUGUACCUGCAUAUAUGUGUAGGCAACAGUCAAUGUGGGGACAGUAAACAAGGGCAUUGGGGGAGAAGAGAUGACACUUUAUAAGCAUUUAUUGCCUUUUCUGGUGCUGAUUAUCUGUCCCGGGGGAAGUAUUCGCAACCUGCACAGAAUGUGGACAGAACACAAGGUUAGAACUUUGUAACUGCAUCCAUAAUAGGACAGAUUGACUCACAAAUCUACUGUGCUAAUAUUUAUAAUUUUUAAUGUAUUCUUGCAUCCUCUGCUUAGCAACAAAGAAGAAUUUAAUGAAUAUGAAUUUGCCUGUGGAGGAGAAAUGUGGAGGACUGUAGUUAUUAUGUAUUGGCAUUUUAGCUCAGAAUCCCACCCACCAUUUGAUAAUAUUGGAUUCCAUGUAACUUUCUCAGAAGGAAUAAAUAAAUAAUCAAAAUCCUACCUGCAUCCUCCAUGAGACAAUCUAUUUCCUAUAACUUUUUCCUAAGCCAUAGGAAUGACUUUGGUUUAGCAUUUAAUUGCUUGCAAAACAUUCUCUCAAAUGUAACCUCUGUCUAUACCUAUCAAACCUCUGCUCACCCACAGGGCUUCAGCUCAAAUUCUGCUUUUCAACAAUGCUUUCCUGCAGCUAGGUUAUGAGGAAUCAGUGCCUCUUUUUCUCCAGUCUGUAUAUGCAUAUCCUGCUCUGCCUGUCUAGGAGCAGGCUGUGAUUGCAGUGAGGACGUGACACUGUGGGGUGGCAGGGGUGGGGGCAAUCUGUCAACUGCUCCUAGAAUGCAGUUUUGCAAGGUUUUCCAAAUAAGAUUAUAGGGUAUUAACCAGGGUCUAUCCUUUAUGGCAACUCUGAAAUCUAAGUUCUGUUUCCUUAGCACCGUGGGAUUGCUUAGUGCUUAUCGGGAUUCUCUCUGCAUUUUAUCUAAACUUCUGCCAACCUAGCCAAGAAGCAGCAGCUGCCCCAAAUGGAAAACAAAUCCAUGAGAAUGUUGAGCUUGACCAAAUCAGCAUCCUUUCUCUCCAGGGCCUUGGACCCUCUUUAGUCUGCAGCUCUCGCUCCAUUUCCUCUCGGACCCCUUCCCUUGCCCUCCAGCGUGGUCCCAGGCCGUGCGCUCCUAAGGUCUCCUGGGCUGAGGAUCCCUCUCAAAGUCACGCACUUGGCUUCCAACAAGUCCUCUUCCUCCUUCUCCCCCCACUUGUUCCUCUUCCUUCUCUGCCUCCACGUCCUCUCAGUAUGGAUUUUCUAGGUUUGUUUUUGUAUAUGUGUGAAAGUAUUGGUCUGUCACAUAGUCCUCAGUCUUAGUUAUAAAUGGAAGCUCCUAGAAUUAUUAACAUAUCUGUAUUCCCUACUAUAAUGAAAGUUCCCUAAAGAAAAAUAAUAUGCCCUUUUUAUGAUGAUUAGAUUAAUAUGUGCUAUUAUUGAUGAGGAAGAGUUUAUCUUUACCUGAACGCUAUUUAAGGAGAGGAAUAGUUGAGUUGAUGUUCAACAUUCACUCAUUCAUUCAAAUAUUUAUUGAGUUUCACAGUGCUGUGUGACGGUCAAGUAAGACAGGAAAAGCCGAGGCCUUGCAGAAUAAUCUGAAAUCCGAGGACAUGGAUGAGAAUUCAUUUGCGUUUUCUCCUUCCUUGGUUCAUACCCGAACAUGGAAUAUUUCAAGACCUGGCUUCUGUUCCAUUUUUUAGCCUUAUAUUUUAUCACUUCCAGCUUCACUGCAUGGGCGUCAGCAUAUUGAACUUCUUCCUGUGCCUUGAGGCAGUCACGUUCCCUUCCAUCUGCAGGCCCCUUCACGUCCUCACUCCUGUCCUUCAGGUCUCACCUCAGAUACCAUUUCCUGGAGAAUUUUUCCAUGAUCUUCCAAGACUGGAGCCGAUGUCCUAUGUGCACAAAUCCUAGGGGUCCAGUACUCAGCACUCCUACCCAAAUCCGAGUGCUUGGCGCUCAUGUCUUCUCACCUGCAGACCUGUCUUCUUCACCGUACCGUGUGCUUCCCAAGGAUGGGGACGGAGCUUUGGGUUGGUUCGUCACAGCCAGCACAGGGCCUGAUGCACAGUCAGUACUCGGUAAGUACCCAUUAAACCAAACUGGGUGUCUAGUGGGUUGAAACAAUUGAAAUAGUCUGGCACCAAGUGCAUAAAAUUUAACUCAAAGGAAAAAGUGUAUUGUUUCACCCAUCUAGGAACAUUUCCAGUGUUCACACUACUUUGACAAAGUCAGUAGAGCAAAUAACCUCACAGACUGUUUCUUUUUCCUGUGACAUAAUGGGAAUCAUUUCCCCAGUCUCAGCAUAGAGCAGUAAGCCAGCAGAGUGAUGUCAUUUUGUGGCACAAAGUAUUAUUAUAGGUUAAAGAAGAGAAGCUCCGAAGGCCUCAUGCUGUUUUCUUCGGUCCGUGAUUCUUCACCCUCGUGUUAAAAUAAACUCCAGGGUGAAUGCUGUAACCUGCCAGUCACCAGCCAAACCUGCCUUGUUGAGCUGGCUUCUGCUCUGCCUUGCACCUAAGGGUUUUUCCCCCAUUUCCAUGGCAGCAAUAUGCAGACCCAGCCAACCAAUUUAGUGAUUUCAGUAAAUUCUUACUUGCUCUUUGUCUAAUAAUGUCAUUGCUUCAGUUACUGUUUCCUAGAUAUUUUAAGAAACUCUCAAAACCAUCUUCCCCGAACAUUACAAUGCUCUCAUUCCUGUUAAAGACCGAAUCUGCAAUAUUUUCCAUCAACUACUGGAAAAAAAACCUAAUGUGUAAAUAGAGUAUGUACAUCUACUUUCUAUAGCUCCAAAGGGGGAAAAAAAUCAGUAUUCCUCAUAAAGUUCUAAAAGAAGCAUGUUUUCUAUCAAUAUGAGAAUUGUUUUUUAAAUUAGAACCCUUCAGCUACAGAGCGGCUUGAAGUGGGAAGUAGAAAACCUCUUACGGACCUGUUGUAACAAGCAGAGCAGGAUGACCUCUCGAAGAUGUAGAAAGUUUUCAGCAAAACAUUUUUACAAGUGCAAUGAAGAAAAUAAACUCAGUGACAUGAUAGAAAGUCUUUGGGUGCUUAUUAUCGAUUGAGGAGUCAGGAAGUCAACUGAAAUCUGCUGAUGAAAAGCAGCUGCAAGAUCUAGGAGAAAAGAGCAUCCCAUGAGGAGGAAAAGCUAACAAGGGCUGAGGAGGAGCAAUGUAUCUCAGCGGAACCUGAGGAAGGUCCUGGAGGUGCAGAUGUCACCGAGGAGAGCAGGGGCUCCGUCCCCAGGAGUCUGAGGUUGGCCAGAGACCUUGAUGUGUUCAGGAAGAUUCCACGUCACACUCUUCACAUCUCCCCCUUGUUCCUUCACCGAACCAGGGCUCCUGGGUUCAACUUUGUCCACGUGCAUCACUGACUCUCUGCAGGUAGCCGGGGUCUUACUGCCAGCGAUGGAGCCACUGUGUUCCAGAACUGCCCAGUGUCCUGCCGCAGCGUGGAGGAAAAGAAUCCCCCUUCCCUUUCCACGGGAGAGUCUGCUACAAAUUGGGCAACGUUCCCUGUUACCUCGAAACCAGCUCUUUGGGUCUCUGUCAAGAAAUCAAAUGAUCUCAUUCAAUAAGUAUUUCACUCAACAAAUCUUUAUUUAUAGUCUGGCGUAUCAUAAGCAAAAAGCUCCUGCCUGAAAGUCUGACAUGGGGAUGGGAGAAGCAACAGAUCUUUGGUUGACGUAUUCUAGGUUGACGUCGGAAUCAUGGAUCUCUCUGCUAACAUGUUUUUAACUUCGUAAGUCGGGAUAUUUCUCACUGCUGCCUCCUCAGAAUGAUUUUUCUCAAAGAGAUGCCACAUUUCCUCCUCUAUAACUAGCCUUCAGUGGUUCAGUCCACCCAUUCGUCAGAUGCCCUCAGGUUGUUUGAGCCCGUGGUAGACCUGGCCUGCAUGUGAUGUACUUCUACCUUGUUCAGUGUAUUAAAGCUCUCAAACACCUUGGUUCUGCCAAAUAAUAAACUUAACAAAUCAUGGGCAAGUUCUAAAUGUUCUAAAAUCCAGUUUGAUGUGAGGAUAGCCGCACAGUUGUGUACAUUUACUAAAAAUCAACGGGUGAAUUUACAAUGGGUGAAUUUAAUGUAUAUAAAUUAUCCUUCAACAAAACUAUUUUUUAAAGAUCUAGAAAAGAAGUCAUCUGCUGUGAUCCAUAGGAGCCAACAGUUUGAGAGAGAUUACUCUAAAAGAAUUACCUCUUUUUUCAAAACCUGCAUUCAGUCUCAAUGACAUUAGAUAAUAUAGGAACAUCAAUCAUGCUUCACUUUGUCUGCGGUGACCACUUCCAACAAAUUUAUGGUGAAUAAAUUUCUGAAACAUAGAGCAACUCAUCCAAAGUCUGUCUUCAACCCACUGCUCUUAUAGUUGGAUAAUUAUCACACGACUAAGUGAUGAGUUAAUCGCAAGUCUGCAAAAAGCAGCAUUGACCAGGGGGUUCUGGGCAGGACCCUAGCAGAGAGAGCCACAUGCUGCCUAUGCUCAGGAGUAGAAGGAAUUAGGGAAGAGGUAAAAUUAAUAAGAAGCCUGACAAACAUUUAUUAAGUUCAGAAAUAUGGUGAAAAGCAAAUGUAUUGAGAUAAGCUACUUGGAUUAUUGGUCAGUCCACAGUGUGCAUCCCCAGUGAGUUUUCCCUGUACUGGUAUAUUACCUCCAUGGGCUUCCAAAGUUCUUUGUAAUUCUUUACUAUUUUUCAUUUGUCUCCUAAACAUCUUAGGUGUAUCCUUUUAUUAUUAAUUUUUUAUUUAAAGCAAUGAAAUAAAGAAAAAUCAAGUAAUCAAA